rnacentral:rRNA from 1 species
CUACGGGUCGCUGCAGUGGGGAAUAUUGCACAAUGGGCGCAAGCCUGAUGCAGCCAUGCCGCGUGUAUGAAGAAGGCCUUCGGGUUGUAAAGUACUUUCAGCGGGGAGGAAGGGAGUAAAGUUAAUACCUUUGCUCAUUGACGUUACCCGCAGAAGAAGCACCGGCUAACUCCGUGCCAGCAGCCGCGGUAAUACGGAGGGUGCAAGCGUUAAUCGGAAUUACUGGGCGUAAAGCGCACGCAGGCGGUUUGUUAAGUCAGAUGUGAAAUCCCCGGGCUCAACCUGGGAACUGCAUCGGAUACUGGCUAGCUUGAGUCUCGUAGAGGGGGGUAGAAUUCCAGGUGUAGCGGUGAAAUGCGUAGAGAUCUGGAGGAAUACCGGUGGCGAAGGCGGCCCCCUGGAUGAAGACUGACGCUCAGGUGCGAAAGCGUGGGGAGCAAACAGGAUUAGAUACCCUCGUAGUC